ACGUAGGUGGCGAGCGUUGUCCGGAUUUACUGGGCGUAAAGGAUGCGUAGGUGGAAACUUAAGUGGGAUGUGAAAUCCCCGGGCUCAACCCGGGAACUGCAUUCCAAACUGGGUAUCUAGAGUGCAGGAGAGGAAAGCGGAAUUCCUAGUGGAGUGGUGAUUAGCGUGGAUAUGAGCAUGAGCCACGAAUGCGGAGGGAGCAUGCUGGACUGUACCGGAUUCUCAGCCAUGUUAGCGUGGUGUCAAAUGAG
rnacentral:rRNA from 1 species